rnacentral:rRNA from 1 species
ACGGGAUUGCCUCAGUAGCGGCGAGUGAAGCGGCAAGAGCUCAGAUUUGAAAUCUCAUAGUGUGCGAGUUGUAAAUUGCAGGUUGGAGUCUGGGUUAGACGUGUGUGCAAGUCCCUUGGAACAGGGUGCCACUGAGGGUGAGAGCCCCGUAGCGUGCAUGUCGACACCUGUGAGGCCCUUCUGACGAGUCGAGUUGUUUGGGAAUGCAGCUCUAAGUGGGUGGUAAAUUCCAUCUAAGGCUAAAUAUUGGCGAGAGACCGAUAGCGAACAAGUACUGUGAAGGAAAGAUGAAAAGCACUUUGAAAAGAGAGUGAAACAGCACGUGAAAUUGUUGAAAGGGAAGGGUAUUGGGCUCGACAUGGGAUUUACGCAUCGUUGCCUCUCGUGGGCGGCGCUCUGGGUUUUUCCUGGGCCAGCAUCGGUUUUCGUUGCAGGAUAAGGACAAUUGGAAUGUGGCUCCUCGGAGUGUUAUAGCCUUUUGUAGAUGCUGCGUAUGGGGACCGAGGGCUGCGGCGGACUCGUUUCGUCUCGGAUGCUGGCACAACGGCGCAAUACCGCCCGUCUUGA